GACAGAGGGUGCAAACGUUGUUCGGAAUUACUGGGCGUAAAGCGCGUGUAGGCGGCUGCGUGUGUCGGGCGUGAAAUCCCAUGGCUCAACCAUGGAAGUGCACCCGAAACUGCGUAGCUAGAGUCCUGGAGAGGAAGGUGGAAUGCUUGGUGUAGAGGUGAAAUUCGUAGAUAUCAAGCGGAACACCGGUGGCGAAGGCGGCCUUCUGGACAGUGACUGACGCUGAGACGCGAAAGCGUGGGGAGCAAACAGU
rnacentral:rRNA from 1 species